rnacentral:lncRNA from 1 species
UUCAUCAUAAAUCUCAUUCAAUGCAAUUAAUUUGUCCAUGGUUCACAUUUAAUUCUUUCUUUCCAUUCCUGAACCUUUUAAAAUAUUCAAAGUUAAUCUAAGUGACGGAUAAUUCAAUCAUACAUUUACAUUGCAAUUCUAUUCAUCCAAAAUAUCAAACUUUUCAUAAAUACUAAGGUCCAAUUCAAUACAUUCAAGUUUCACAUACAACUUUCCUUUACAAUUAUUACAAACCAAUUUUUACAUUUUUUACAUUAGGAUUCACCAAUUAUUACAAAAGUAACAAUAACCAUCCCAAUAUCAAGCAUCAUGUAUCAUUCAUAUCCUACAUAGCCAUAUUAACCAUUCCAAAUGAUCAUACAUGUCCAUUUCAAGCUACAUUAGAAUUCAUCAUAACCCAACAAUAUCAUGAAGUAGCCCAUGGGCUCUAAUGCAUUCACUAGAAACAUUCCAAUGGCACAACGGCUCAUGUAGCAAACAUUUCCAUAGCACAAAUUGAACAUGUCACAAAAGAUAAUAUACAAAAACUAAGCAUGGAAUCUCAAGACUCUGUUAGGCCCUGUUUGGAAAUGAUUUAUAUGACGUUCCUGUUGAAUCUUCUGAACAACAGGCACAAAUUACUGAUCAAAGUUAUAUGGAAGCUCCAAAUACUGAAGAAGGAAACACGGCUCUUGCAUUAUUGGCUAUAGCAUAUGUUAAGAUUUGGUUUCAGAGUGAAAUUUAUGUCUAGAUGGUGUAUUCGAUUUAGGAGUUGGUGGCGUCUCCGCCGCUGAGGAAAGCCUCCGGCACGGCGGAGGGAGGAUGGAGAAGAAAGCUGAAUGCGUUUUAAUUUUGAAUUUGAAGUUUCAUGUUUAGCAUUUAUCACGUGGGUUUUCCUCGUAUGAAGUGGAUAUGGCUUGCUGGCUCAGAUCCAAAUCACAGUGAGCUUAUCCAUUUGCAUAGUCAGCUUGUUCACUUCGUGGGCCUUAGUAUCUUGGGCUUUUGGACAAUUUUGUCAAUUACAGCAUAGUUCUGCUGGUGUACCCCUGGACUCGUUUUGAACAUGGGCCCAUGUUUGGGCCAUGUGUAUGAACUACUAAUGGGACUCUGUGUUG